rnacentral:rRNA from 1 species
AGAGUUUGAUCCUGGCUCAGGACGAACGCUGGCGGCGUGCCUAAUACAUGCAAGUCGAGCGAAGUUAAGGGAGCUUGCUCCCAAGACUUAGCGGCGGACGGGUGAGUAACACGUGGGUAACCUGCCUGUAAGACCGGGAUAACUCCGGGAAACCGGAGCUAAUACCAGAUAAUCAACUUAGUUGCAUAACAAAGUUGUGAAAGAUGGCGCAAGCUAUCACUUACAGAUGGGCCCGCGGCGCAUUAGCUAGUUGGUAGGGUAAAGGCCUACCAAGGCAACGAUGCGUAGCCGACCUGAGAGGGUGAUCGGCCACACUGGGACUGAGACACGGCCCA